CAGAGAAUUAGAAGCCCUAAGCAGUGCCAAUCCUGUUCAGUUCACCCAAGUGAGAGCCAAAUAAUAAAAUCAUGUUACACAAUGCAGAAGUCAACUCAGAGCAAUGAAUACAGAACAAAGGUACUUUGGAAUAUGCCAUCCUAAUAUUCCUGUAUGCGCACUUUAGUGUUCUUAAAUGUGUUUCAUGUUUAAUGAAAGAAACAAUGACUUUCAGUGGAGGAAAAAAAUAGAUCUUUAAAUAUAAUCAGGGCCUUAACCACCUACCUUAGGUAACUGAGAAAAAGCUACUGUACUCUUUAUUUUUUAAUACUCCAGAUAUGUAAUUUAAUGCAGGUCUAAUGACAGUCUCAAACAUGGGGCUUUAAUCGAAAUUGUUCAAGCUCAGUGCUGUGACAGGAACUCACAAGCCCCCAACAGUGCUGUCCAUUUUCUCAGGUUCUUCAAUAGAAAAGGAAAGAAGAAAAAAACCUCUUGAACUUAUGUUGCUAUUGAUGUGUAAUAUACAAUAAAAAAAAGUUAAAUUUCAAUUACCCACAGGUUGUCAAAUAAACUAUUAAAGAUUAUCUUUGAAAAGGUGUCUGCAAUUGUAAGGACAUAUCAUACUGUUCAUGUACUGUAUUAGUAAUUAGAGAUUCCUGGAUAGUGAAAGAUCUGCACUGGGAGCUUACUACCGGGGAGCACAUUUUCUCACAGCCGCCUCUAAUCUCCCACGGAAGCUUUCAAACUUCUCAGCUCUAUCAGAAACUUGAUUUCUAUGGAAUAAGCUUGUGCUAGCAAAACCAGUUUACCCAGAAACGCACAAAUGAGCUGCUUAGCAUACUUCUGAGAUCCUGAUUCCCACAGUCCCUGUGCUGUUGUUGCUGUUGAUAUUGGAUGGAGACUGUAAAUGGAAGCAUGCCUUGGUGACGUCUCCAGCAGAGGGUACUCGCUUCAAUCCCCAUGCUGCUGUGGGUGGGCCACAACAACAGAUGACUUUUUAAAUGACAUGCUGUUUCCUGUUCUGCUACUUAUAGUUUCUGAAGAACCAAGUUAUAUAGAAAGAAGAAGAAGGUAAAGGCUGUGAAGGAAAAAGAGAAGAAACUAACUGCAAGUAAAAAAAAUGAAGGCCA
rnacentral:lncRNA from 1 species